UAUUUAGAGAAGCAGAGUUUCAGCUCUCAAGAGUCCUUACCAAAUACUGUUCAUUUAUCUUCUUUUAUAGAUGAGUAGUUGGUAACCGUUUGUAAUGGUUAGACACGUGGAUCCCACUUAUCUUGAUAUUAUGUGAUCGUGGGAUGGAUGGUUAUAUCUGCCACUGAUCAUGUUCUGUCUAUUAUGCGCUUUCUGCGUUAGUGGU
rnacentral:lncRNA from 1 species